rnacentral:rRNA from 1 species
UACGUAGGGCGCAAGCGUUGUCCGGAAUUAUUGGGCGUAAAGAGCUCGUAGGCGGCCUGUUACGUCUGCUGUGAAAUCCUGGGGCUUAACCCCGGGCGUGCAGUGGAUACGGGCGGGCUAGAGGCAGGCAGGGGAGAACGGAAUUCCCGGUGUAGCGGUGAAAUGCGCAGAUAUCGGGAGGAACACCGGUGGCGAAGGCGGUUCUCUGGGCCUGUACUGACGCUGAGGAGCGAAAGCGUGGGGAGCAAACAGG